rnacentral:rRNA from 1 species
AAAGGACCUAGCAAUAGGUAUGCUUAGGGAGGAGCUUGCGUCACAUUAGUUAGUUGGUGGGGUAAAGGCCUACCAAGACUAUGAUGUGUAGCCGGGCUGAGAGGUUGAACGGCCACAUUGGGACUGAGACACGGCCCAAACUCCUACGGGAGGCAGCAGUAGGGAAUUUUCGGCAAUGGAGGAAACUCUGACCGAGCAACGCCGCGUGAACGAUGAAGUAUUUCGGUACGUAAAGUUCUUUUAUUAGGGAAGAAUAAAUGAUGGAAAAAUCAUUCUGACGGUACCUAAUGAAUAAGCCCCGGCUAACUAUGUGCCAGCAGCCGCGGUAAUACAUAGGGGGCAAGCGUUAUCGGAAUUAUUGGGCGUAAAGGGUGCGUAGGCGGUUAAAUAAGUUUAUGGUCUAAGUGCAAUGCUCAACAUUGUGAUGCUAUAAAAACUGUUUAGCUAGAGUAAGAUAGAGGCAAGUGGAAUUCCAUGUGUAGUGGUAAAAUGCGUAAAUAUAUGGAGGAACACCAGUAGCGAAGGCGGCUUGCUGGGUCUUUACUGACGCUGAGGCACGAAAGCGUGGGGAGCAAACAGGAUUAGAUACCCUGGUAGUCCACGCCGUAAACGAUGAGUACUAAACGUUGGGUAAAACCAGUGUUGAAGUUAACACAUUAAGUACUCCGCCUGAGUAGUACGUACGCAAGUAUGAAACUUAAAGGAAUUGACGGGACUCCGCACAAGCGGUGGAUCAUGUUGUUUAAUUCGAAGGUACCCGAAAAACCUCACCAGGUCUUGACAUGCUUCUGCAAAGCU